rnacentral:rRNA from 1 species
CCUACGGGAGGCAGCAGUGGGGAAUAUUGCACAAUGGGGGAAACCCUGAUGCAGCCAUGCCGCGUGUGUGAAGAAGGCCUUCGGGUUGUAAAGCACUUUCAGCGAGGAGGAAAGGUUGAUACCUAAUACGUAUCAGCUGUGACGUUACUCGCAGAAGAAGCACCGGCUAACUCCGUGCCAGCAGCCGCGGUAAU